UUAUGCCUUGGAAUGGCUUAUGGUCAAACAAUUUAUUGCGUAGGAUGGGACUGCGGCCCUAUCAGCUGUUGGUGAGGUAAUGGCCCACCAAGGCUAUAACAGGUACGGGCUCUGAGAGGAGAAGCCCGGAGAUGGGUACUGAGACACGGACCCAGGCCCUAUGGGGCGCAGCAGGCGAGAAACCUUAGCAAUGUGCGAAAGCACGACUAGGUUAAUCCGAGUGAUUUCUGUUGAAGAAAUCUUUUGUCAGUCGUAAAACCACAGACGAAUAAGGGGUGGGCAAGUCUGGUGUCAGCCGCCGCGGUAAUACCAGCACCUCGAGUGGUCAGGAGGUUUAUUGGGCCUAAAGCAUCCGUAGCCAACUUUGCAAGUCUCCGGUUAAAUCCAGCUGCUCAACAGAUGGGCUGCCGGAGAUACUACAAAGCUAGGGAGCGGGAGAGGCAGACGGUAUUCUGUGGGUAGGGGUAAAAUCCUUUGAUCCAUAGAGGACCACCAGUGGCGAAGGCGGUCUGCCAGAACGCGUUCGACGGUGAGGGAUGAAAGCUGGGGGAGCAAACCGGAUUAGAUACCCGGGUAGUCCCAGCUGUAAACGAUGCAAAC
rnacentral:rRNA from 1 species